rnacentral:rRNA from 1 species
GAUGAACGCUAGCGGCAGGCCUAAUACAUGCAAGUCGGACGGGAUUCAGGAGCUUGCUUCUGAUGAGAGUGGCGCACGGGUGCGUAACACGUAUGUAACCUACCUUUAUCAGGGGGAUAGCCUCUCGAAAGAGAGAUUAAGCCCGCAUAAAAUCACAGCACAGCAUUGUGUAAUGAUCAAAUAUUUAUAGGAUAAAGAUGGGCAUGCGGAACAUUAGCUAGAUGGCGGGGUAACGGCCCACCAUGGCGACGAUGUUUAGGGGAGCUGAGAGGAUGGCCCCCCACACUGGUACGGAGACACGGACCAGACUCCGACGGGAGGCAGCAGUAAGGAAUAUUGGUCAAGGGGCGGUAGCCUGAACCAGCCAUGCCGCGUGCAGGAAGACGGGCCUACGGGUUGUAAACUGCUUUUAUACGGGAAGAAACCCAGAUACGUGUAUCUGGCUGAAUGUACUGUAAGAAUAAGGAUCGGCUAACUCCGUG